AACGAACGCUGGCGGCAUGCCUAACACAUGCAAGUCGAACGAAGCCUUCGGGCUUAGUGGCGCACGGGUGCGUAACGCGUGGGAAUCUGCCCUUUGGUUCGGAAUAACAGUUGGAAACGACUGCUAAUACCGGAUGAUGACGAAAGUCCAAAGAUUUAUCGCCAGAGGAUGAGCCCGCGUAGGAUUAGCUAGUUGGUGUGGUAAAGGCGCACCAAGGCGACGAUCCUUAGCUGGUCUGAGAGGAUGAUCAGCCACACUGGGACUGAGACACGGCCCAGACUCCUACGGGAGGCAGCGGUGGGGAAUAUUGGACAAUGGGCGAAAGCCUGAUCCAGCAAUGCCGCGUGAGUGAUGAAGGCCCUAGGGUAGUAAAGCUCUUUUACCCGGGAUGAUAAUGACAGUACCGGGAGAAUAAGCCCCGGCUAACUCCGUGCCAGCCGCCGCGGUAA
rnacentral:rRNA from 1 species